rnacentral:lncRNA from 12 species
AUUUUUCAUAGUGGAGAAUAAACCUCUUUAAUAAUGUCAGCAAUUAAUAAUAGAACAACUGUUUAGAUGGAAGACUUUGGGUAGCUGGUGGGCAAGAUGAUGGUGUUGGCAAUGGAAAGAACCACAGAUGAGAGGCAAGGCAAGAAGAAGGUUUCAGAAAAGGAAAUGAGAAGAAGAUUGCCGAGUUUGGCUUGGGACCGAGUGUUACCAACAUCACUUCUCCUGUCUAUGUUAGAAUUUAUUGGUUUGGAAAGAAGAUAUACAGAUGGCCAACAGACACAUGGAAAGAUGCUCAUCAUCACUUAUCAGCAGGGAAAUGCAAAUCAAAACUACAGUGAGCUUUCCCCCCACACCUUCCAGAAUGGCUUAAAUCAAUACAAGAACCAACAGGUGUUGGCGAGGAUGUGGAGAAAAAGGAACACUUGUACACCGUUAAUGCGAGUACAAACUGGUGCAGCCACUAUGGAAAACAGUAAGGGGUUUCCUCAAAAAGUCAAAAAUAGAGCUACCCUACAAUCCAGCAAUCACACUACUGGGUAUUUACCCAAAGAAUACAAGAACACUAAUUCAAAGGGAUGCAUGCACCCCUAUGUUUAUAGCAGCAUUAUUUACAAUAGGCAAACUAUGGAAGCGGCCCAAGGGUCCACUGAUAAAUGA